GAAAUAUUUAAGAAUCAGUCCUGCACAGAUCCGAAGUUGGAGAUAUUCCUUGUGGGGAUAAAGUGAGGAUUAAACCAUAUGAGUAGAUUCUUGUCUCCUAGGCAUGCGAGCCCUGGGGAAAUUCAUCGGUGAGAUCUCCAUGUAGAAGUGAAUGUCAACUACUUUCUCAGAAAUCCAUCAAUCCAUCAUCUAGAAAGACUGAAUGUAGGUCAUUUUUCUUUGUUUUUCUUUUUUCUUUUUUACCAUUUCCUUCCUU
rnacentral:lncRNA from 1 species